AUUGAACGCUGGCGGCAGGCCUAACACAUGCAAGUCGAGCGGAUGAAGGGAGCUUGCUCCUGGAUUCAGCGGCGGACUGGUGAGUAAUGCCUAGGAAUCUGCCUGGUAGUGGGGGAUAACGUCCUGAAACGGGCGCUAAUACCGCAUACGUCCUGAGGGAGAAAGUGGGGGAUCUUCGGACCUCACGCUAUCAGAUGAGCCUAGGUCGGAUUAGCUAGUUGGUGGGGUAAAGGCCAACCAAGGCGACGAUCCGUAACUGGUCUGAGAGGAUGAUCAGUCACACUGGAACUGAGACACGGUCCAGACUCCUACGGGAGGCAGCAGUGGGGAAUAUUGGACAAUGGGCGAAAGCCUGAUCCAGCCAUGCCGCGUGUGUGAAGAAGGUCUUCGGAUUGUAAAGCACUUUAAGUUGGGAGGAAGGGCAGUAAGUUAAUACCUUGCUGUUUUGACGUUACCAAAAGAAUAAGCACCGGCUAACUUCGUG
rnacentral:rRNA from 1 species